UGCCAGCCGCCGCGGUAAUACGGAAGGUGCAAGCGUUAUCCGGAAUCACUGGGUUUAAAGGGUGCGUAGGCGGUUGCGUAAGUCAGAAGUGAAAGCUCACAGCUUAACUGUGGAAUUGCUUUUGAUACUGCGCGACUAGAAUUAGGUUGAGGUUGGCGGAAUGUGACAUGUAGCGGUGAAAUGCAUAGAUAUGUCAUAGAACACCAAUUGCGAAGGCAGCUGACUGGACCUAUAUUGACGCUGAGGCACGAAAGCGUGGGGAGCGAACAGGAUUAGAUA
rnacentral:rRNA from 1 species